UCUCCGUAGGUGAACCUGCGGAGGAAUCAUUACAGAGUUCAUGCCCUACCGGGUAGAUCUCCCACCCUAUGUUAUUAUUACUUUGUUGCUUUGGCGGGCCGUUAGGCUCCGGCCCGACUACCGGCCCCGGCUGGUAAGCGCCCGCCAGAGGACCCAAAACCCUGAAUAUUAGUGUCGUCUGAGUACUAUAUAAUAGUUAAAACUUUCAACAACGGAUCUCUUGGCUCUC
rnacentral:misc_RNA from 1 species